AUAGUGUCCUGCAGAAUGGUGAUGGGCCAAUCUUACAAGAGACCACAGAAAACUGAUAUAGUGAACUAUAGAAACAACAGUGCCUGCUGCAGUAUAACGAGGACACCCUGAGUAGAGAGCUCCAAUAGACCCAGGUCCAGUGUCUUGGCAGGGUGAAAUGGCACUGAUAUGGUGUCCUGCAGGAUGCUGUGUCCUGCAAUCCUGUGUGCUGUGCUACAGACGCGUGUGGAGGUCAACCCAAAAUGGGCACAGUCUCACCACAGAAGAGUGAAAGAGGCUCCCAGAAGUGAGACUGAGUGCCUGUUGCAGUAUGACGAGGACGCAGUGACCAGAGACCUUCAGUAGACCCUGCUGGCAUGAUUGGCUUUCUGAAGAACAUGAAAUCAACAGCAAUGUUUAUAAUGUUGUACAUACCUGUAUAGUCUGUAUUAAAAGGCAGUACCUGUA